rnacentral:rRNA from 1 species
UACAACGCACUACCUGUUCAUAGUAGUCGUUGCUGUCAACAGCACACUGCCCACCAUCAACGCAGGGGCCUACAUCUUCUACACCGACUGGGCGUGGACGUCCUUCGUUGUGUUCUCGGUGUCCCCCUCCACCUUGCUUACUGCAGGCGCCAUAUACUACAUGUUGUUCCCAGGCGUUCCCGGCACCGACACCUCUUACACCACUCAUAUUCCCUCUUCCCAAUGGCUCGCAACAGGCCCAUGCUUUCCACGUGGCAACCCCCACGGCCGCCUCGGGGGACAAGGAGCAACAAGCACGCUGCCAUACUGAUUGGCGGUACGCUGGUUGGCAUAUCGUUCCCGCUGUUCACCAUGGUCAACCUGGUGCUUGUAAGGGACCCGCUCGAGGUGGCGUUCAAGUAUCCGAGACCGACGCUGCCCGCGUACAUGACGCCUAUAGAGCCUCAGGUAGGGAAGUUCUACAACUCGCCUGUCGCCCUGGGUUCAGGUGCCGGUGCAGUGCUAACGGUACCCAUCGCUUCGUUGGGUGCAAAAAUAAACACGUGG